GAGCGAUCGAUAAGGAGCUUGCUCCUUUGACGUUAGCGGCGGACGGGUGAGUAACACGUGGGUAACCUACCUAUAAGACUGGAAUAACUCCGGGAAACCGGGGCUAAUGCCGGAUAACAUUUAGAACCGCAUGGUUCUAAAGUGAAAGAUGGUUUUGCUAUCACUUAUAGAUGGACCCGCGCCGUAUUAGCUAGUUGGUAAGGUAACGGCUUACCAAGGCAACGAUACGUAGCCGACCUGAGAGGGUGAUCGGCCACACUGGAACUGAGACACGGUCCAGACUCCUACGGGAGGCAGCAGUAGGGAAUCUUCCGCAAUGGGCAAAAGCCUGACGGAGCAACGCCCCGUGAGUGAUGAAGGUCUUCGGAUCGUAAAACUCUGUUAUUAGGGAAAAACAAAUGUGUAAGUAACUAUGCACGUCUUGACGGUACCUAAUCAGAAAGCCACGGCUAACUACGUGCCAGCAGCCGCGGUAAUACGUAGGUGGCAAGCGUUAUCCGGAAUUAUUGGGCGUAAAGCGCGCGUAGGCGGUUUCUUAAGUCUGAUGUGAAAGCCCACGGCUCAACCGUGGAGGGUCAUUGGAAACUGGGAAACUUGAGUGCAGAAGAGGAGAGUGGAAUUCCAUGUGUAGCGGUGAAAUGCGCAGAGAUAUGGAGGAACACCAGUGGCGAAGGCGACUUUCUGGUCUGUAACUGACGCUGAUGUGCGAAAGCGUGGGGAUCAAACAGGAUUAGAUACCCUG
rnacentral:rRNA from 1 species